rnacentral:lncRNA from 1 species
GCGCGAGGCCACGGCGCCGGCGGACGCCUGUUCGCGUGCACCGUCCCCCGCCUGACCUGCCGGCCGCUUCCGGAGCGGGAGGAUGUGGCGGACUUGCGGGGCGCUAAGCGCUUCGGCCCUAGCCUUGGCGCGGUCGCGGGGAGCCCGGGCCUGCAGCGGAGACGGGGGCGUCUCCUACACGCAGGGCCAGAGCCCGGAGCCCCGGACGCGCGAGUAUUUCUACUACGUGGAUCAUCAGGGUCAGGUGUGUGGGGAGCGAGGCAGGGCGCCGGGAAGGGGAAGGGCCUCUGUGGGGGCGGGACGGGAACUGGAGUCCCGGUGCGUACUGACGAGGAGAGGAGUCCUCGUAGGCCAAGGGAAAGGGGGGAACCUGGAAAGCGCGUGAGCCCCACUCUGCAGAGCCCAGACAAUCAGCGGGAAAAACCCGGAGCGCGCGGGCGGCGUGGGCCUGGUGCGCUCUGCCCCGGCCUUCGAGCUCAGCGCCUGCUUCGAGUACGGCCCUGGCGCGCCCGCGCUGCCCUCGCACGUGCGCUGGGAGGGCGGUCGCCUCGCCCUCACCAUGGAGCUGGCCCCGCUGCUGCUGGCGACUCCGCCGUCCUGAGCCCGCGGGCGGCUCGGGAGGUCGAGUGCCCGCGUGGGGAGGCUCGGCCUGCUUUGUAAUCAAGGAAGAGGGGAAAAGCCACCGAAAGUGCAAGGAAGCAUUACUCGGGUUGCGGGUCGAUGUCGGAAAGGCAGCAGGCCCGGGGUUUACUUUCAAAGCGCCGCCCUGCACAGGGAACAGCAAGACAGUGAACACACCCACGGGGUCUCAUUCACUGGCCUCGGCCUGUCCUCUGCAGCUCUUCCUGGACGAUUCCAAAAUGAAGAACUUCAUCACCUGCUUCAAAGGUACUGCUGCACCCCUUCCUUCGCCCUUCAGGACAGCCGAGGACAGGCCCUGCCCCGGGCCCCGACCCAGGGCUGACUUGCACCAGGUGCCCCGCUGUCGCAGUGAGGCCAGCGCCGGCCUUGGGUGUGGUCCGGGGUGAGGCGCCUGCCGAGGUGAGCAGCCGCACUCUCUGCUCCCCCCAGACCUGCAGUUCCUGGUCACCUUCUUCUCUCGCCUGAAACCCAACCGCAGCGGGCGCUACGAGGCCGCCUUCCCCUUCCUCUCACUGUGCGGCAGAGAGCGCAACUUCCUGCGCUGUGAGGACCGGCCCGUGGUCUUCACGCACCUGCUGGCCACGGGCCGCGGGCCCUCUCGCCUCUCCUACUGCGGCGGGGGCGAGGCCCUGGCAGUGCCCUUCGAGCCGGCGCGCUUGCUGCCCCUGGCGGCCAACGGGCGCCUGUACCACCCGGCGCCAGAGCGCGCGGGCGGCGUGGGCCUGGUGCGCUCUGCCCUGGCCUUCGAGCUCAGCGCCUGCUUCGAGUACGGCCCUGGCGCUCCCGCGCUGCCCUCGCACGUGCGCUGGGAGGGCCGUCGCCUCGCCCUCACCAUGGAGCUGGCCCCGCUGCUGCUGGCGACUCCGCGGUCCUGAGCCGCGGACUGUUCCGAAGUUCCCGCGGAUCCUGCGCUCCGCCGGCCGAGUGCGCGUGCGCGUGCGUGGAGUGCGCCGGGGCUCCGCCUGCUGGCGCUGUCCGAGGUGCUGCUGCCCGUCCUAGGGCUCGGCGCCGCCCCUUGCUCCGCUCCUCGCUCCCCUUCCGGGCAUCCUCUGGAUUGGCCCGCGCUCCCGACGUCAGGCCCGGGCGGCGGGCGCAGGAGGCGCGGGGCUCCGGUGCGCGUGCGCGCCCCGCCUCUGCUGGAGCCAGGCCGCCGCAGGCUCGGCGGGGAGCCGCGAGCCGCCGGAGCGUCAGGUGAGGGGGGGCCCCGACCCAAGGUCACCGGGCUUAGGGGCGGGAUCGGGGACCUCCCCGGCUCAGACCCCGGCACGCACCUAGAAGGGUGUGCAACCCGGCACCGGGGAGGGCACGCGGAUACCACGCCCUCCACGAUCGCAGGCCUGCACCUACCUGCGCGAGAGGGCGAAAGGGGACUUCGUGCAGGAUCCCAGCGCCGGUCGCAAGGACCACCCGGAGAUCCUGGCUCGAGUGUGCCGGAGAGAGGAAACCGGGUGCCCCCAGCCCCCUGCUAAGCCGGAUUAGGGUUUGUCCGCUGGUAAAAGGACUUCUGGGCCCUCAUCCGGGUCCCUCAUCCCUGUCCGGGCCGUCUUUCCACACCAGUUUGUAUUUAACGGGUCCUCCAGAGCUGCAGCGCCGAGCCAAGGAAGAAACCAAGGCUUUAUUGCUGGAGGCUGGGUGGGUGGGUGAGUCCUGGAGCUGGAGGCCGCCCCUUGGUGCUCAGGGAGACUAAUGCCAUGGGCCCAAAGAAUGCGCCCCCCCCCCAGUCCCAUUUCUUGGGGGCUCACACACAUCCUGAGACCCCUGGCAACCGCCUCUGCCUUUUCCAUUAAAACUUUAUUGCUAUGCUUACUCAUAUGUCCUGAUUAUAAAUAAUCGUGUGAGUUACAGUUUAGGGCAGAAUUGAAACAAGCACUGAAGCCAUUUGGCACCUUUCAUCUUGACUCACAGAGACAGGGACACCUAGGUAACAGUAUACCCUGGGUUUUGCCUUUCUUGGCUCCAGAGGAGCUGGUUUCUCAGUCACGCCCAUACCUAUAAAACUGGGUUCUUGUGUUUGGAACUAGACCCCAGCUUUCCCAUCCCUGAGGCCACAGAUACAUGCACAUAAACCCCUGCAAACCACAUGCUUCUUCCUAUUGUCUCUGGCCCACUUAGAAAACCACACCUGAAACCCAGUUGGUGUGGUUGGAGUAGCUCAGUGGUGGAGUAUGUGCUUAACAUGUGAGACCCUGGGGUCAAUCCCUCCCCCCACACACACACACACACAAAGAAGAAACACAAAAGCUUUAUUGGUGACCUAAGGCCCGUCUCUCACACCCAAUCUUUCCCAGCACUCCACCUACCCCAAAGACAGGGGUUUUCUUUCCGGAGCCAGCCUAGGGAGCCCCAGCCCAUAGUUCAUGAAUUAACUUUCCUAUUGUUUGCCUCAUCCUCAAUUCUCUACAAGUUACUUGAGGAAAAGCCCCAGCUCUGUCAUCUGGCUCCCCCUCUGCCCAGGUCUCCCUUCAAGUCAUGAUGUAUGAACCACCAGGUGGAGCCAGAGCAUACCUGCUUCCAGUGUUAAUUAAUUCUAGAGUUUGAAGUGAGACGACAGGUCUUGUCCUAGGGGCACCUAAGGAACUCUGCUUUGGAUUGAGCCUUAGGUUUGUGCCAGUCCUGAGAGUGAAGACAAGAGUGAAGACAUGCCUGCCCAGGGCCCGUUCCCUCCUUCUGGUCUAUGCUUGGGUAGGUCCCGGAUUUUGCUGCCGAGUAGUCCUGGGUCCCAGCUCAGGAGCCACGGGGCUGAGUCAACAGGGUCAGAGGGAGCUUGAACCAGCUGUGCUGUGCAUGAGCAGAGGGCCCUCAGGACAGGCAUGGGAAGGGGUCUGAGAAUGGGUUGCCCUCCCCACAUGGCCACAUCCUGGGGAAACAGGACACCAAGAAUUCUCAACUUGAACCUCCUGCCCUCAGUCUUGGUGUUUUUGUCAAGGAAGGAAACUAGAAAAUUUUAUUCAUCAGUUUCUUUAUUGGGAGUGGGGGUUGCAGACAGGGUAGCCCAGGGCCUCGUGUAUGCUAGGCAGGUGUUCUGCCACUGACUUACAAUCCCCAGCACACGAACUGACUUAAAACUUUGUGAAAGUUAGACACAGGUUGUGUGGGCCUCCACUCGUGCUCUUGGGCUGGCUCUAUAAUGUUAGCAGUGGCCUGCCAACCUGUGUUUCAGGAGGUGCAUCCAUCGCAUCUGGGGCCAACCCUGGGGAGGCUCGCAGUCCCAGGCCUUUCUCUAGGGAAAUGGCCCCGGGGGCUCCUGUGCUGCUGCUGCUGCUGCUGCUGCUGGGGCUGCUGCUGCUGCCGCCACUGCCAGGGCUCCCGCCUCGCGCCGCCGGCUGCCCCGCCGCCUGCCGCUGCUACAGCGCCACGGUUGAGUGCGGUGCCCUGCGGCUGCGCGUCGUCCCACUGGGAAUCCCCCCAGGGACGCAGGUGGGCACCAUGUGGGGCCACCGGGCCUCGGGUUGGAGCAGGCUGCGAGUGCCCAUGGGAUGGAGGGAGCCUUGUGUGAGCAUCCGGGUGGGGUCGGUGGGGCGCCCCAAUGGAGCGAGAGACUCCUGCAGUGGGGUAAGAUUCGCCCUCCCCCGGCCCGCAGACGCUGUUCCUGCAGGACAACAACAUCGCGCGUCUGGAGCCAGGCGCCCUGGCGCCACUCGCCGCCCUUCGCCAUCUCUACCUGCACAACAACAGUCUGCGUGCUCUGGAGUCUGGCGCUUUCCGCUCGCAACCGCGCCUGCUGGAGCUGGCCCUCACAGGCAACAGGCUACGUGGCUUGCGGGGAGGGGCUUUUGCGGGCCUAGCCCAGCUGCGUGUAC